CGCUGCGCCUACACCCAAAGGGUCCGGCUAUUGCGCGGCUGUGGCGCGCGGGGCUUCCGCUUCUCCACUUAAGGCAACCGCCGCCGGCUCGCUUCCUGCUCCUCCUCGCCAACAAAACCCCAGGAAAAGUCUCCGCGGACAACCCCGUGCUUCGCUCGAGGCUAGUUUCCUUCACCUCCGCCGCUUCCCUCGUUAACUCCUCCUGGUCGGUCGGUCGGUCUCUCUCUCCCCUCUUGCUUGCCACCCCCUCCCGGUCUUCCGCUCACGCAGGCGCUUUCUCCGCUUCUCCCGUCGCUGCUCUUCUUAAGCAGCAACAGCCGCUUCCCUACGCGCGCCAGUGCGCGGGCUCCUGCGUGGAGUUUGCAAAGUGCCGCCGCUCCCUGACUGGGCGUCGCGCGGCUUCGCGGACUCUGGGGAGGAGCUGGUCUUGGCGAGAGGCUCCUCGCAGCGCCCCGCUGCCUCCUGCUGACUAACUGAUUGAGCCGCCGCUGCCGCCCCUGCGUCCUCCUCCCCGGGCCGCCGGGCAGGCGAGUCAGUCAGAGCGCUUCUCUCCCUCUCUCUUUCCCCUUCUCUCUCCCACACACAAACACAUACACGCCCCGGAACGGCUGAGAAGCAGGCUCCAGAGGGGCAGGGAGGAGGAGGAGGGACGGCUGGUGAUAGCUGCAGGACGGGCUGCGACAGCGGGGGCCUGUGCGCCUGGGAGAGGUGGAGAUAUGCCCCGGGGGAGCGGCGCCCUCGGGGGGAAGCGAGCGAGUCAGCGGCGGGUCGCCUCAGAGCUGCUCCUGUUUUGGCGGGAACGCGCGAGGAGCCCCGUGGAGCGGCACCUUCGCGGGCGGGCAGGUGGGCUGGAAAGAGGGCAGCGCCCCGCUCCUCCCCCACCUCGCGCCCCGCUCCGAACUGGGCGGCAUCUCUGCGAAACUGACGGGCAGCCCAGCCAGGCAGAAGCCCCUCAGUCAGCUCCUCUGGAACCUGGGCUGCAAUUCUUGCUAACACUUGACAGAAUAGGCAGCUUGACUGAAGAGAGUGAUUCAGCACCGGAUGUGACCUGAGGGCAGCUGAUAGCAGAGCGAGGAGGCGUGGCAGUGGAUGUGCUGGACCAUUUUCUUGCCUUGGCAAUGGACUGAAUGAACAAAACAGCAGAGGGAUUUGAAGAGAUGGACCAUGACUGCAGAGACAAAGCCACCAAGCCUGGAUUUGGAGAUGAUGAUUCAGGCUGGAUUUUUGCCAGGAAGUUGCAAUGCAUCAGAGUUUUCAAGGUCGAAAGUCAGGUGCUCUGUAUAAUUAAGCAAACUGACAUUGUCAGCUAAUGCAAAGGGAAAAGCCUUGCUGUCAGCAGUCAUAUCAAAAGUGAACAGGACAGCACUGUCCCUCCUGUAAAGGUACGUAUAUAAAAUGUCCAUUUGGCAUGAUAUACCCGGAAUGGAUGCUUCAAGUAGUGACAAAAUUAGAUAUUAGCUUGACAAGAUUCACUUGUUGCAGCAUGUGGGAUUCCAGAUAUUUAUUUGCCAGCUUGAUAGAAAUAAGGUAUGUGAUCAGCAUUUCCUAACCACUCCAACACCGCACACACAGAUACCUCACUUCCCAUUCCUAAACUUACAUUUUCUAAUAUAUUUUGGGUGUUUUUUUAAGGUCAUUACCAAUAUGUUACCUUUAUUUACAGAGUAAUCCUACCUUCCUGGAUGAGGAGAGAGCUGUGGCACAGCCACUGCUGCAGGAAGAACCUAGCUGUAUUGCAUUGGAUAGGGGGAGGCAACUUUUUGACCUGUGUUUGUAUUCCUUUUACAUUUUAUCUUCCAUUGACCACAGUAGGAGUGAAAUACAUAUACCAGCUUUGGACUGGUGUAUGGCGUGCAGGGGAAGGGGAGAGAGAGAGAUGUCCAAGGAAUAUUAAGGCUCUGGAUCCUGAAAAUCCAUGGCCUUCCCCAACCUGCCCCCAGAAUGCCUUGUUCGUGGCUUCUUUAUAUACAGAGGACCACCAGUAGAACAGUGACAGCAGUGGAGCUUUCUACCAUUGCACUGUGAGGACGUGUAACUGCAGACCUCCCUCAUGAAACGGGAGCCUGCAGUACCUGAUUUCUUGUUGACUGUCCUCCACAAAGGCUUAGGCUUUGUUCCAUUAAGAAUAAACACAUUUUUGAAUG